GACGAACGCUGGCGGCGUGCUUAACACAUGCAAGUCGAACGGAAAGGCCCUGCUUUUGUGGGGUGCUCGAGUGGCGAACGGGUGAGUAACACGUGAGUAACCUGCCCUUGACUUUGGGAUAACUUCAGGAAACUGGGGCUAAUACCGGAUAGGAGCUCCUGUUGCAUGGUGGGGGUUGGAAAGUUUCGGCGGUUGGGGAUGGACUCGCGGCUUAUCAGCUUGUUGGUGGGGUAGUGGCUUACCAAGGCUUUGACGGGUAGCCGGCCUGAGAGGGUGACCGGCCACAUUGGGACUGAGAUACGGCCCAGACUCCUACGGGAGGCAGCAGUGGGGAAUAUUGCACAAUGGGCGGAAGCCUGAUGCAGCAACGCCGCGUGCGGGAUGACGGCCUUCGGGUUGUAAACCGCUUUCGCCUGUGACGAAGCGUGAGUGACGGUAAUGGGUAAAGAAGCACCGGCUAACUACGUGCCAGCAGCCGCGGUGAUACGUAGGGUGCGAGCGUUGUCCGGAUUUAUUGGGCGUAAAGGGCUCGUAGGUGGUUGAUCGCGUCGGAAGUGUAAUCUUGGGGCUUAACCCUGAGCGUGCUUUCGAUACGGGUUGACUUGAGGAAGGUAGGGGAGAAUGGAAUUCCUGGUGGAGCGGUGGAAUGCGCAGAUAUCAGGAGGAACACCAGUGGCGAAGGCGGUUCUCUGGGCCUUUCCUGACGCUGAGGAGCGAAAGCGUGGGGAGCGAACAGGCUUAGAUACCCUGGUAGUCCACGCUGUAAACGGUGGGUACUAGGUGUGGGGUCCAUUCCACGGGUUCCGUGCCGUAGCUAACGCUUUAAGUACCCCGCCUGGGGAGUACGGCCGCAAGGCUAAAACUCAAAGGAAUUGACGGGGCCCCGCACAAGCGGCGGAGCAUGCGGAUUAAUUCGAUGCAACGCGUAGAACCUUACCUGGGUUUGACAUGGAUCGGGAGUGCUCAGAGAUGGGUGUGCCUCUUUUGGGGUCGGUUCACAGGUGGUGCAUGCCUGUCGUCAGCUCGUGUCGUGAGAUGUUGGGUUAAGUCCCGCAACGAGCGCAACCCUUGUUCACUGUUGCCAGCACGUUAUGGUGGGGACUCAGUGGAGACCGCCGGGGUCAACUCGGAGGAAGGUGGGGAUGACGUCAAGUCAUCAUGCCCCUUAUGUCCAGGGCUUCACGCAUGCUACAAUGGCUGGUACAGAGAGUGGCGAGCCUGUGAGGGUGAGCGAAUCUCGGAAAGCCGGUCUCAGUUCGGAUUGGGGUCUGCAACUCGACCUCAUGAAGUCGGAGUCGCUAGUAAUCGCAGAUCAGCAACGCUGCGGUGAAUACGUUCCCGGGGCU
rnacentral:rRNA from 1 species